rnacentral:rRNA from 1 species
GGAUUAGAUACCCUGGUAGUCCACGCCGUAAACGAUGUCAACUAGUUGUUCGUGUCACUAAGACGUGAGUAACGCAGCUAACGCACUAAGUUGACCGCCUGGGGAGUACGGCCGCAAGGUUAAAACUCAAAUGAAUUGACGGGGGCCCGCACAAGCGGUGGAGCAUGUGGUUUAAUUCGAUGCAACGCGAAGAACCUUACCAUCCCUUGACAUCCAGUGAACUUUCUAGAGAUAGAUUGGUGCCUUCGGGAACACUGAGACAGGUGCUGCAUGGCUGUCGUCAGCUCGUGCCG